CUUGGUCAGCAAAAACUAUGCUUAAAUUGGAAUGAUACGGAGAGGAUUAGCAUGGUCCCUGCACAAGCAUGACACACAAAUUCAUUAAGUUUCCUGUACUUUA